GAACGCUGGCGGCAUGCCUUAUACAUGCAAGUCGAACGAGAAAGUCACUUCGGUGGCGAGUACAGUGGCGCACGGGUGAGUAACGCGUAGAUGAUCUACCCUUCAGUCUGGGACAACUCUUGGAAACGGGAGCUAAUACCGGAUAAAACCUUCGGGUUGAAAGAUUUAUCGCUGGGGGAUGAGUCUGCGUACCAUUAGCUUGUUGGUGGGGUAACGGCCUACCAAGGCGACGAUGGUUAGCGGGUCUGAGAGGACGAUCCGCCACACUGGAACUGAGACACGGUCCAGACUCCUACGGGAGGCAGCAGUAGGGAAUAUUGCGCAAUGGGGGCAACCCUGACGCAGCAAUGCCGCGUGAGUGAAGAAGGCCUUCGGGUCGUAAAGCUCUUUUAUGGGGGAAGAUGAUGACGGUACCCCAUGAAUAAGCACCGGCUAACUACG
rnacentral:rRNA from 1 species